UCAUCCCCCAUACCCCAUCCCCUUCCCAAGAAAAUCCCCCUCCCUUUCUUAACGGCGGAUGUUUUGGAAUCCUUCUCGAAAAUUAUUUUUUUCCCGAUCUAUGGUGGCAUAGUCCGGGGGCCUUAGAUCGUAGGUUUUAUUUAUAUUGAUUAGUAGGGGCACUGAUUUGAGUGGGUUUUGGACCUUGGAUUAUGAUCUGCAGAGGGUUUUGUUUGGUGCUAAGGCUUGGAGUCUCUGAUCUGAAUGUGUUGUUUCCUACUUCCGCUGGGAUGGGGAUGUUUUGAUGGUGGGUUUGGAUUUGGGUUUCGUUCCUGGAUGGUUCGUCUUUCCGAUCUGACAUUUUGUUUUAUUGAUGAUCUUUACUUAUGUUCCCUUGCCGGUGUUUUCACUUGUUCCCUUGCCGGUGUUUUCACAUCCAAAGUCAUUUGUGUUUUUCAUCAUUUUAAGAUAUGAUUUGCCGGUGGCUUUGCCGGAGC
rnacentral:lncRNA from 1 species